UUCAUUUUCUUCUUGAAUUUAUAUCGAAUCCCAAUCUACUAGUGGAGGUGCUUGCACUAGUAAUAAUGUAACUGAUGAGUGUAUUGUGUGGCCGUGAUUCAAACUCCAAUCCGCCUCGACUGGCUCGUCCCGUCCAUGGCUGCUACAGAAAUAAAAAAACAGUGGACAUGAUAAAAAGGAAUCAUUCAUAUUUAAUAUUGUCUUAUCUCUAAGUAACUCAUAUGUAACAGAUCGUAGUUACAGUACAGGUUCUAGAAAAAGAACAAAUAAAUCACAUGUGACGAGCAUGAUACAAAGAUUAUUAAAGGUUCCCGAAAAUUUGAUAAGCACUGUUAACUCUUGAAUUUCUCAUAAUACCUGUAAAUUUGUAGGCACGAGCAACGUGAUCGAACUGAUACAAACUGCAGCGAGCACGCGAGGCUACUGGCAACCUGAUCGAACCUGAUACAGACGACGAGGAUACGGCUACUGGUGAUGUCGACGAGCGAGGUUGCAUACAACAGUUUUUUUAGCCUUUGUUUGAAGGAACCGGCCUGCGUGCGUGUGAUAAGCUUCAGGCGAGCAGAACAGCCAUAGCGCUGAACAAGGUCUCUGUGUGGUUCCAAGCCAUUUCUGCAGUCACAGAACAGCCUUUUUUUUUGUGGUGGUGGUGAGGUGAGGUAUGAUCAUGGAAAAUUGUAAUACGCUGCUGCUGCUAACGACAGCUAGCAUUGGAGUAUCGUUGAAUGCCUGCUGGAGAUCUAUAUAAUACUAGCAAGUAGCAACCAGACUAUCAGUAUCACGCUGCAUGUGCCAGUCAGAGAAAUAUAAUACUACUAGCAAACGAUGUCGAUAUGACAGUGAUCGGCUAGUAGAGAAAGAAACAAGAAAGGGGCCAGACCACAAGUGAUGGGGCAGAGUUUGAACAUCCCAGAAGCAAACGAUUCGGCAGGAGAUUAGUCAUGGGCGCCAAACGAUCGGCAUGGAAUGAUGCCCCAGUCACGAUCGAUCACGGCAUGAACGCGCAUCCGAUGGCCGUUUUGCGACUAAACAAUAGGGGGCAGUGGUUGGACUUGGAGGAGAGGAACACGUACAAAUAUGGGCAGGCACUAGCUAGCUAGGCUGCAAAGAGCCAAAGACUGCCGGCACCGCUGCUAGCUUGCUAGCAUACUUCCCCUACACGCGCGCGCAACCGCAAGCAGUCGAUCGUCGCAUGGCGCCAGGAGGCAGCGGCGAGCGGUGGAGCCUGGCCGGCGCGACAGCGCUGGUCACCGGUGGCAGCAAGGGGAUCGGGCAAGCCGUCGUGGAGGAGCUGGCCAGGCUCGGCGCGCGCGUGCACACGUGCGCCCGCAGCGCGGCGGACCUGGAGGAGUGCCGCCGGCGGUGGGCCGAGAAGGGGCUCCGCGUCACCGUCUCCGUGUGCGACGUCGCCGUGCGCGCCGACCGGGAGAGGCUCGUCCUGGACACGGUCAGCGCGGCCUUCGACGGCAAGCUCGAUAUCCUGGUAAGCUAGCUAGAAAUUAAGGUGGAACCAUAUCAUGCGUGUACAUAUCGACCGUCGGCCAAUCGGUGUGUCGUCUGUGCCGUGUACAGGUCAACAACGCUGCGCUGCUGCUGCUCAAGCCGGCGGCGGAGUGGGCGGCGGAGGACUACGCGCGGAUCAUGGCGACCAACCUGGAGUCGUGCUUGCACAUCUCCCAGCUCGCGCACCCGCUGCUCCUCAACGCCUCCGUCGCCGGAGGGGCGAGCAUCGUCAACGUCUCCUCCAUCGCCAGCGUCCUUGGCUUCCCGCAGGAAGUUAUGUACAGCGUCACCAAAGGUACACAAUAUAUAGUUUUUUUUAUUUAAUAUAUCUUGGAUCGUCCUUGCAUCCAUCCAUGAUCAUCGAUCGAUCAUCUCUUGCAGGAGGACUGAAUCAGAUGACGAGAAGUCUAGCUGUGGAGUGGGCCUGCGAUAGGAUCCGUGUGAACUGCGUCGCGCCGGGCGUGAUCAUGACGGACAUGGGUAAAGAGCUACCGGCGGCGUUGGUGGAGCAGGAGCGGUCACGCAUCCCGCUGCGGCGGACCGGCGAGCCGGAGGAGGUGGCGUCCCUGGUGUCGUUCCUCUGCAUGCCGGCGGCGUCCUACGUCACCGGGCAGGUCAUCUUCGUCGACGGCGGCCGGACCAUUAGUGGCGCCUGAUCGACGACGACGGCCAGCUAUAUAUUCUCUAUUCUACUGUAUUUGAAUUUGUUUUCGUUCUUGAUCGGCCAUGUAUCACCGUCAGACGUCAGCGGCAAUAAUCCGGCCGCCGUCAGCUAGCGCCAUGCAAGCUGCCCGAUCAUGCAAGGUGCAGACACUGUCGUUGCCUGCAGUUCUGUUCCUUUUUCUACUAUGGUUUCUUGUAUUCACUGCCCACUGGUGAUGUUUCUGUGAUAACGACUUCGACAGAGGGGAUACAUUUUAAAAUCCUUGUGCUAAUCAGUUUUUGUGCACAUCAGAGUUUUUUUAGAACAGAAAAUGUGUCUAUGAUAUGGAUAUAACUUUUGUAAACAGAGAGAAGCGACCACAAAUCUCUCCUCUUGAGAGAGAGAGAGAAGAGACUUCAUUCGAAUUUCCAAUAAAUUAGACAAGUUCGGACACACAAGUAAACACACGUGUUAGCGCGGAUCUAGGCGCCAAACACUAGAACGAAUCACCUGACGAUGCUUUCUGCGGAGACGUAGACGGUCCGCGACCUGGCGCAGGAGCGUCUACUCCUCUGCGUACGUCCGGACAGUCCACGCAUAGGGCUCAGACGGUCCACGAUGGCGCAAAGAGCCGUCUUCUUCUUCGCAGCAGACUUAAAUCUCGCAUUCCGGGAGAGACACCAUCGAGGAUGAGAGAUUGUGUCUUGGCGUCAAUUGGUUAUCCAGGCUUUGAGUAAUAUUGAGAUGAUGACAUAUUGGAAGUAAAAGUUUCAGGAUUAUUUCAAACACUUCACUUUAUAGUUCACCUUUGCAGCGAUGCUACUAUUAAGGACUAGUUCACCUUUGCAGCGACCCUACUAAGUAUCCGUUGUCAUCCCUACUAAAUCCCCUUACAGUUAAAACCGGUAACGAAACUAUUAAAGUUUAGUUUGGGAACUUCAUUUUCUCAUAAGAUUCCUAUUUUCCUAAGGAAAAAUAAACUAAUUUCCCUUGAAAAAAUGGAAAAACUCUUAGGAAAAUGAUGUUUCCAAUCUAACUCUAACAUGGCUUCUUUUCCUUGAUUUCGGUACCAAUUCUUAGAAAACCGGUACUAAAAUUAAGGGACAGAAGCCCGGUUCUUCAGUAGUGUACCAUUCAUGCAAUGAAAAAAUUGUUGCAACAUAUACAAUAUGUUUACGGGAUAAGCCUUAUCGGCGUUAAUAACUGUUGCUUCUAGGUGUACCACUUCUCUCAAGAUUUAGCUUGUGUGUGUUUUUUUUUCUUCUUCUCAAUCUGUUGACUCUGCGCUCAUUGAACCACCCGGUAGACAACAAUUAUUGGAAGACCAAAUUUGAAUAUGGAUUUCUUUCUCGUGUGUGGCUGCCAUGCAUUUACACUAACAUGCACGCACCUCAUGCGCAAAUAAAUAAUAACAAUAACUGGCUGGCCAGCCUGCCUAAAGAUCUAGAUCUGUUGACUCUGCGCUCAAUGAACCACCUGUCGGCCGGUAGACAAUAAUUGUUGGAUGACCAGAUUUGAAUAUGGAUUUGUUUCUCAUGUGUACGUGACAGCCAUGGAUUUUAUAAUAAUAUGCACGCGCAUCAUGCGCAAAUAACUAAUAAUAACUAGCACAAAACUCUAUGCUACUACUACAUACAUAUAUGAACAACAGAUCGUAGACAUCCAUUGGCAGCAAGAAAGAAACCAAGGUACCUAGUUCAAAGAGAGCUUAGCUAGGAAUACAAUGGAGGGCGCUCUUGCGAGCGCAGCAACCGGAGCCCUGCAGUCCGUUGUGGCGAAGCUGCAAGCUCUGCUCCGCGAUGAGUACAGGCGCCUCACGGGAAUGCGCGGCAAGAUGGAGUGGCUCACUGGCGAGCUGGUUGCCAUGAAGGCCUUCCUCACCGACAUGUCCAGGGACGAGACUCCUCCUGAUGAACAACGCAAGCUGUGGAUGAAGGACGUGCGGGAGCUCUCCUACGACAUCGAAGACAGCCUCGACGACUUCUUCGUGCAGCAUGCCGCCAAGCCAGACGGCAUCAUGGAGAAGAUGGCGAGCCUGCUGGAGAGGACCAAGAGUCGCCACCGGAUAGGCAAGGAGUUCGACGCCAUCAAGAGGAAAGUCAUGGAGGCGGACGCAAGGCGUAAGAGUUACAGUACCGACCGUCCGGUGGCCAAAGCCAGAUCAUCAUCCAUCGAUCCAAGAGCGCUAGCUAUAUUUGAGGAUGCGAGGAAGCCUGUUGGCAUCGACGGAGCAAAGGACGAGGUCACCAGACUGCUGCUGGGACGACUGGAACAAGAAGGCCACCAGGAGCAGCGGCAACGCCAGAUUGUCUAUAUUGUUGGAUCUGGAGGGCUGGGGAAAACGACCCUGGCAUACCAGGUAUAUCAACAACUUAAGAAUCGAUUCGAACAUCGGUCCUUCUUAUCCGUGUCCAGGAAUCCGGACAUCAAUGUCGUUUUCAAAACAAUCCUCCAUGAAGUGGUGACCGAAGAAGAUAGGCCGUCCGUGUUCAAGGGAGACUAUGUCAGCACUGUCGCUGCCUCGCUGGGACCCAGCAACUUAUCACAAUGAUCAGGGAAUACCUUAAACAAAAAAACAAAAGGUACUCUACCAUGUACAACUCCUUUCUUACCGCUCAUAUUUGUGCUUAUGUAGUUAAUUUGCUUUUGUAAUCGACAAGCUAGUUCUAAUCAUGUCUUAAUCGAGUAACUCUAUAUCUCUUGUUGUGUUAGUGCUUAGGCUUAGGCAUAACCAUGUAGAGUAAUUUGCUUUGCUCGGUUAUUUGCUUUCUAGUCCUUGUGCUAAAGUGUUUUGGUGUGUUGUACUCACUAUCAUUUCAUACCUACAGGAAUCCGACGAAUCUAGGUCGGCCUAAAACCAUUGUAAAUAAGGCUUAAUAAAUUGUUAUUUACAUCAGUUUUUGAUUUAUUUACAUCGGUUCUAGGUCGUUACUAAUAAAGCAUCGUAAAUAAGUUUAUUUACAUCGGCUAACCGCCGUAAAUAAUUAAUCUAUGACGGUCAUAGCUAGCCGACAUAAGUAAGGGACGGUCAGGUUUCAGGUUCAAACGCACGAAAGAAAAUGAUUUAUACUGGCUAAACAAAAAUCAUCGUAGAUAACUACUUACUUUACUUGCAUUCCGAAGCUAGUAGGAUUUCUACGGAAGUAUAUGCAUACAGAACUACACAAGAAUGAGACAGAAUUAAUGUAGCACCCGCAUAGAAAGCAACAAAAUAGAUUUCUACCCAGAGCCCCAGAAUUGCUACCAGAUUUUAAAACUACAAUAUUAUGGCAAGCACUAAAUUCCAUAUCUAUAGUAGACCAAACAAGCAUAUCGUGCAUGGAUCAGUAGCAAGUUUAGGCAUCUUGAACUAUUAUAUGAUGCACAAUCUCAGCAAGAUUUCAAGCAACAAAUUAACUACAGAAAUACUAUCUACCUUGCCAAUGGCCACACCGCCCACAACGUUCCAAUUUCAACAGCAGAUAAACAACCAUACCUGGCGCCACUUAUGGUCAUGAACUGCUACAGCUUGUCGCGGUUUCCUCUCCUCAGCUUAUGCUGCACAGUGCACACAAACCACACAUAAUCAACUAUAUAUCUUUUUAAAAAGGAGAAACUAAACAUCAGAUUCCAACAGUUCAUACAUCAGAAUUAACCAUUUAACCCACGAAUUCAAACCGGGAGCUAACAGAACCGGGGCAGGUCAUAGAUACUCACCAUCUUGGAUCGCAGAACGAGGAUGACGCCGGGGAAGUUUGGGGUUUCGUGGCGAAGCCUGAACUCUAGUAGUCUAGCUCUUGGCUCCUAUCUUUUCACCUUAAGGCACCUAGACUGCCAUAUAGAUGCACGACAAAUCUAUAAUUGAAUAAUUGUACGAGCUCAUUUUGGUCAGUGACCUUACCUUACUCUUCAUCCCAUUUACUAUGUACCAAUGUGCAGAUAUUUUAUUGUGCUGGAUGAUAUAUGGGACACGAAAACAUGGGAAAUCAUCAAGACUGCCUUCCCACUGACUCACUGUGGCAGCAUAAUCAUCGUCACCACUCGCAUAAACGAGGUUGCUAGGGAAUGCUGUAGAUACAGUGAUAAUGGGCAUAUAUACAAUAUGAGGCCUCUUAAUAUGGAGCACUCAGCACAGCUAUUCUAUGGAAGAUUAUUCAGCCCUGAAGAGAAAUGCCCUGGGCACCUCCAAGAGAUCUCUGGCCAAAUCCUGGAGAAAUGUGCCGGCUUACCAUUAGCGAUCAUCGCUAUGUCUGGCCUGCUGUCGAGCAAGGGGAGAACAAGGAAGGAGUGGGAUAUAGUGAAGGACUCGAUGGGCCGUGCGCUCGAAAGGAAUUCUGAUGUCCAACGAAUGCUAGAGAUAAUUUCACUCAGUUAUUUGGAUCUUCCUCCCGAGCUUAGAACUUGCCUAUUGUACCUCAGCAUAUUUCCAGAAGAUUACACGAUUGACAAGGACGGUUUGAUAAAGAGGUGGAUUGGUGAGGGGUUCAUCCAUGAGCAGAGCCAACCUGGAGGCUGGAGCAUACCGCUCAGGCGAGACGUGUUUUAACGAUCUCAUCAACAGGAGCUUGCUCCAGCCAGGAGAGAUGGACGAGUUUGGUGUGGUGAAAAGCUGUCGAAUUCAUGACACAGUUCUUGAUUUCAUUGUAUCCAAGGCCAUCGAGGAGAACUUUGUCACUUUAAUAGGAGUACCUGGUGUAAAUCCUACUGCUGUUGGAGACAAAGACAAGGUCCGUCGGUUGUCUAUGCAGAAUGAAGGCAAGAUCCCACCGGAGCUGGUCUUAUCUAGCGUCCGGUCGCUUAAUGUUUUCGGUGCUAGAGUGGAAAUCCCGUCUCUGUCGAGGUUCAGACGCCUGCGUGUUUUAGCCUUUGAAGGCUGUGGGCAGCUACAGGAUGACCAUCUCAAAGAUGUGGGUGAUCUGUUGCACCUGAGGUACUUGAGGCUCAACGAAGCAAGUGGUGUCACAGAGCUCCCAGAAAAAACAGCUGGGCUAAAGCACCUGGGGGCACUCGACGUACAUGGGCACAACACAGUAAUGGAAAUCCCAGCAUCCAUUUGUCAGGCCGGGCGAUUGGAAUGCCUGGUUACUCUAGCUGUUGAUCGUGAAACUAUAAUGCCUGAUGAGAUUGCAGACAUGAAAGCACUUCAGGUUCUGGAAGGCGUUAAUGUCUACAUCCAGUCGGUUGACUUCAUUGAGGGGCUCGGCGAGCUAACGAACCUGAGGAAGCUGGGGAUAAGAUUUAUCAACAGUGAUGCUGAUGAAGAAUGGGAUGAGAAAUAUGAAGAGAUCGUCUCCUCGGUCCGUAAGCUUGCCGACUCAAACCUUGAUUCUCUUCGUGUUCAUACUUUGAACGAGCCGCCAGAACUACUGAACAAGCUAAAUGACCAUGGUACAGUUGACCUUGGAGAACUUGUCGUCACGGGAGAUAUUGUCUCGGAUCUUGCAGACUGGUGGGGUGUACUUGUGAACCUUCACAAGCUACUCUUUUAUACGUACGGACUCAGUGAGAAAGAUGUGGAGACCUUAGGAAGCAUAACUGGUCUGGAAUACCUCUGCAUCCAUCUCUUCGAUGCACCCGACGACCCUCAUGAGCUGAAAGCUCCCCUAGAGAGAGCAAUGGAUGCCCACCCAAACCGUCCCAGAUUGGUAUGGGUCGAUGAGGAUUAGACCUCAACUCAGGCACCAUUUCUUCCUUGCAAACACUCAUUCUUUCUUCUGUCUGCUCACCAGAUACCUUUCUGUUGUUGGUUAAUUCAGUCGGUUUGUGUUUGAUUCUUAGCCAAUAAUAAAGUUUGAACCCAGUUGGGUGCGUCCAUGUACUCGCCAGACUCGUGCUUAGUUCACGAUGCGGUGUUCCCAUUGUUUCUGUUUUCUAUUGGGUCGUACAAGAUGUCAUGCAUGCUUCUUUCUCAGUCGUGGGAUGGCGCACAGGUGAUCAUGCCGUUGCCAUUAUGUACGUGUGUGGUCCGUGCUCAUCAGUUCGAGCUUGUGACGCUGUGAGUGGACAACUAAGAGCCGAGAAACAAAAAAGCCUUGAUUACAAGGAGUCGCUUAGUGGAGAAACGAAGAGUUUUGAAUAUAAGAAUUCUCUAACACCCACGCAGCAGGAGUGUCGGUAGACCAAGCAUUCAUUCUUUGAAGACAACAUAUGAUAGGCCUUUUGUGAAAAUGUGAGCCAACUGCGACAUCGUGGGUACAUGAAGAACAUGAACAACACCGACGACAACUCGUCCUCCAUAACUUUGUUUCUUGCGAGCUCAAGAGGAACGGUCAAAGCCUAGAACGGGAGCUCGCCAAUGUCCGAGAGUCCCUAAGACAGGAGAGCACCGAACAUGAGAACAUGCGGGUUGCCGCUAUCUUGGCGUGCAGCGACCUCGGAAUCUCCCAACGCGAAGGCCUGAGCUCUUUAGCCAUCCAAGUUUCGAAGCUGAUAAAGGACGCCAUCUUCCUCGAUGUGCACCAGUCGUUUUCGAUCACUCCGUCCCAUUAUGACAACAAUGAUCUCCCGGCGUUGGUGCAGGGCUUCGCGCUGGGGUACACCGAGGAAGAGUUGGACAAAUUCGAGGAGACAGACCCUCCAUCGCGGCAUUUGGCAGAUCAGACUGGAAGGAGGCUCUUCCUAAAAUAAAGUAAUUGUAAAAGGAUUUUAUGUAUCCAACUAGGGAUGUACUAGUCUUAUGUCAGGAUUUAACUAGUCAUAUGCCCAUGCAUUGCUACGGUUUAUAUAUAUAUGACAUAGGAUAAAUUUUGUUUUAAUAAAGCACAAAAUAUAUGUUUUCUAUUGAUUAGGUGUGUGUGAAUGUGGAGUCAACAACCAAGAUUCAAACACUCACUUAUACAUAAUUUCAACUUAUUUUUUACAUAAACUCUCCUAUUAUAGUAGUAGAAAAAAGAUUAUAGGAGUGUGGGUUGAUUCUAAAGAAAUAUAGGAGUUUUUUCGAAAAAUAUUGACGCGGGACAACCGUUGAAACUGGUGCUUUAAUAUAGUAAAGAUGUAGGUCGUUGUUUCAACUGCUUCGCGGAUGACCACCUUGUUGCAUCCUGCCGCCUUGGGCCAAGAUGUUUCCGCUACAAGGCUCUUGGUCAUCGCUCCUACGCCUGCUCUGGGCCAGUGAAUGGUGAUAGGAAGUUUCCUGUGCAUCGACGACUAUUGAGGGGAGUGGUUUGGAGUAGGCUAUCGACAGUCGCGCCAACGAACGCCGACCGUGUGGCGACAGGGCCUGUCCCGCAGCACCAGUUGGCUCGGGCCUCGGUCUAGGAGCGACUUCUGCCUCCAGCACCCCAUCCACGCAAGAAGAGAGUCAGUGUCUGGCGUAGAAUCUCCCCUCCAGGCAUUGAGAAGGGUCGGGUGAAAGGGAAAUGAGCCCUUGGGCCAUUUCUAAGUAUUUUGGUGAUUAAGUGUCUAACACAAAUGGUUAUGUGUUAAACUAUGUCAAAUGAUGGACAAAGUGCAAAUCAAUACAAAGGUAUGAUUUUAGACUUAGUACAUUGGUUUUAGUGUACUAACAUAUUUGUCUAAGUGCUAGAAUCAGAGAAAAGACAAAUGGAAAAGACUUGGCUCGAGCAGCCAAGACUCUGCUCAGUCUGGGUGCACCGGACUGUCCGGUGGUGCACCGGACAGUGUCCGGUGCGCCAGGCUGGCUCUAGUGAAAAGGCCGCUCUCGGGAUUUCGUCGGCGGCGUACGGCUAAAAAUCACCGGACUGUCCGGUGAGCCAACGGUCGGCCGAGCCAACAGUCGGUCGCGCAAUCCGCGCGUGACCCGUGGCCGGGCCAACGGUCCGAUGGGGGCACCGGACUGUCCGGUGUGCACCGGACAGUGUCCGGUGCGCCAACGGCUCCAAAACUUCAACGGUCGGCUGCGCCAGAACAGGAAAGCAAUCAGCACCGGACAGUGUCCGGUGGUGCACCGGACUGUCCGGUGCACCAGUCGACAGAAGGCAAGAAUUGCCUUCCUGGAUUGCUCUCAACGGCUCCUAGCUGCCUUGGGGCUAUAAAAGGGACCCCUAGGCGCAUGGAGGAGUACACCAAGCAUUCUUUGAUCAUCUCUUAGCACCAAGACAUCUCUCUAGCGCAUUUGAUUCGUUGUGAUAGCAAUUUGAGCUCCUCUUGAGUUGAGAACUCCGUGUGUGAUCUUAGAGCUCAAGUUGUGACUUGUGUGUGCUCGUGCUUUGAGGCUUGUGUGUGUUGUUCUUCCCACUCUUACAUCUGUGCUUCUUUGUGAUCAUCUCAUUGUAAGGGCGAGAGGCUCCAAGUUGUGGAGAUUCCUCGCAAACGGGAAAGAGUAAAGGAAAAAGAACAUCGUGGUAUUCAAGUUGAUCAUUGGAUCACUUGAAAGGAGUUGAGUGCAACUCUCGUCCAUUGGGACGCCACAACGUGGACUAGGCAAGUGUUGUACUUGGCCGAACCACGGGAUAAAUCUUUGUGUCUCUUGUGCUUGUUCUCACUGUGUCAAUUGUGGUUCACAAGAGCUCUCCUUAGCCACUUGAUUUUAUUGUGCUAACGCUUAAUCAAGUUUGUGGCUUUAAGUUUCAAGUUUUUACAGGAUCACCUAUUCACCCCCCCCCCCUCUAGGUGCUCUCAUCGGGUACAUUUCGAGAUGAUGAAAGGGGCAGUGGAUGCGCGAGCAUUUGUUACUCCAUCCAGUGAUGUCGGAGCUACAGCUGGUUCUGUCUCGCAGGGCCCCCUCCCGCCCCGCCCGCGACGCAUACGCCAUCGAAAGCGCAAGUCAUCCCCUAGGGGUGGUUCUGAUCUGGGUCGUGGACGAUCUGAUCAACCCAGAAAUGACAAGACCCCUCUGGUUGUACCCAGCCUUUUGCAUCAUCAGCACCCUUGUGUGAUCGGUUGGAAUAGUUUGAUGGAUAAAGCAGAAGAAGAUUUGAAGAACGCAGUGUCUAUCUUUGUGGUCAGUGAUGUGCUUGUGCCAGUCGUCGAUAUCGCAGAUGCAGUCGCUCAAAAACUUGAAGCCAAUUCUGAUUCGCUAAUCUUGAGGCAAUUGGCUCAUGGACAUUUCCUGCUCAUGCUUCCCACCCUCCAGUCAGUUGACCAGCUGAUAACGAGAUGGAACACUAUUCGUGCAGGCGCCUUCUCUCUGCACUGUAAAAGAUGGUCCAGGUUUUUUGGACCCUCAGGUGCAAGUUUGCCUAUCCCUGUGGAAUUCGAGCUAAGUGGCAUUCCAAUUCAUGUCUGGGAACUAUCCACUGUCCGACACAUUUUAAACCCUUUUGCAUGGGUGCAGAAGGUACAUGAGGAGACUCUCGAGCUCAAGAAUUUGGAGGUCUUUCGCUGUUAUGGUUGGUGUUAUGACCUGGCCUCAAUCCCUCAUUCUAGAGAUCUCUGGAUUACUGAUUCGCUGGGAAAUGGACCAGGCGUUGAAAGGCUAUCUCUUGCCUAUCGUGUUCAGAUUAAGGUGUUGGAUGGAUAAUGUGUUGUCCCUGACCCCAUCCAGAUCCCAACAGAUAUGGAUGGUUCCACACGACAGAGGUGGCGUUUCUGUUCGCGUUCGCCACCAGGGGACCGUGAUGGUCGAAGGGGUUCAGCGGAGGACGGUGUGCUUAAGGACAGACGAUCUGCUCUUGAACGUCUAGGCCCAAGGUCUAAAGUUCAGCCUAGGGAAGAAGGCGACGCCAGUCAGUGUGAUCAGACAGCUGGAAACUAUGAGAUAUUGGAGGAGUCCUCGACCGUGGAGAUCACCAUUGGUAUAUCUGCAGAAUUUGCUGUUGUCCCGAAUUUGGCUGCUGACCGGGCACGUUUGGUGCUAGUUUCUUCCCCACCACAGGCGUGCACCUCUCAACCCCUUGCAGCCUCUCAUGCCUUGGACGUGGUAGUCCCACAGACUCCGUCCGAGGCCUUAUUGCUUCCUCCGGAUGUGGCUGUCAUGUUUACUACCGCUAGGUGGGGCAUGUCCAGGGUCCAUUGGCCCCUGUUGAUGAGCUCGAGACCGUGGAGCAGCUGGUGCCCAAUAUUGAUGAUGUUCACGCUGAUUCUUCUGUUCCAGCCGUCAACCUGUCGCUACUUAUUUUGGAAGAAAGAGGUCUUGGUGCUGCUGUGGUUCCAGACACUGUGCCUGCCCAGGGUACUUCUCACCCUGUUGACAGGCCUUUGUUUGUUGAGCCGCAGGAUGUUACCCAUUUUAGCGGAGGUGGCCUCCCUUCCCACCUUCAGGACCACUCUGACAGCAGAUUCAAAGUAAAGCCUCCCUGUUUCAAAGUUUACUCAAGAAGAAAAAAACUCCAGGCAGCGGCAGCCCAGAUGACAGAUGUUGAGAGGACAGAAAGGUUACAAGAUUUCAUGCAGAAUGUUACCAAGCCAGCUGCAAGGUUGUUGGCUGACCCCCCCCCCCCGGAUUACCAAGCGAAAGAAGAGGAAGACCCUGCCCAAUGACUUCAAUCCAAGGAGAAGCAGAAGGGUGGCUAAUCUGCCACCGGAACUGGGCAAUGAAUCUGCAGCUAAAGUCUGCAGGCAGCUAGGAUUUUGUGAUGACCAAGAACAUAUUUCCUUCGAAGACGCCCAAAAGUAUGUUCACCUUUUUGAUGCAGCACUUUCCAGAGAGCAUAUUGCUGCCAUGGCAGACUUAUUUGGCUGGGAACUGCCUGUUGAAGGCCGGUUUCAAACCUGAUUGGAGGGGGGGUGUGCUGUAGGUCGUGUGUGUUUUAGUGUACCCUGUUAUAAUGCAGCCAGUUUUUCUUAUCUGGAAUGUAAGGGGCCUGAAUGACAUGUCUAGGAGAGACAUUGUUAAGUCCUUGGUCCUUGGCAUCAAACCAGCGGUUGUCUGUUUGCAGGAAACUAAGCUAUGCUCUAUCUCAGCUUUUGACAUCCUGUCUAUUCUUGGUGCUGGGUAUAGUGACUUCGUUUACUCCCCAGCGCAAGGAACCAGAGGAGGUGUUUUAGUGGCUUGUAGAGAUGGAGUCUAUUCUGCUAUUGAGAGUUUGGUGCAUGAUUUCACAGUUUCAGUCAAGUUGCAAGAGGAAGGUGGUGCUCAGUGGUGGUUCACGGGUGUUUAUGGGCCACACCAAGACCCUCUCAAGCAUUCCUUUCUCCAGGAGCUUAGGGAAGUCAGGGAGACAUGCGCUGGCCCUUGGGUAAUAGCUGGAGAUUUUAAUCAGAUCUACAGCUCAGAAGACAAGAACAAUGCCAAUAUAAAUAGGGCCAUGAUGGGCAGAUUCAGGAGACUUAUCAAUGACUUGGAGCUAAAAGAAAUCCCGUUGGUAGGCAGGAAAUUCACUUGGUCAAAUGAGAGAAAUGUCCCUACACUUGUUAAACUCGACCAUGUUUUCUGUACAGCCAGCUGGGAGGAGAUCCAUCCGGAUUGUAUUCUCCAUAGCAACUCUUCGGAGCUCUCUGACCAUUGUCCCUUAGCUCUGCAUCUUAAUGAGGAUGUCAAGGGGAAGUGAAGAUUCCAUUUUGAGAGUUUUUGGACUAAGAUUCCAGAUUUUUUGGAGACGGUGGCUACCUCUUGGGAGCAGCCAGUGAUGUUUUCUUGUCCCUUGGAAGAAUGGCUCUAAAGUUGAGAAGGCUUGCAAAGGCUUUGCAGUCGUGGAGUCAUAAAAGGAUCGGAAAUGUUAAAUCUCAGCUUAGCUUGGCCAGGGAAAUUUUGCACGGACUUGAGAUUGCUCAAGACAAUAGACUGUUGUGUGGGGACGAGAUAUGGCUGAAAGGAAGGCUUAAGCACCACUGCCUGGGGCUUGCCUCUCUGGAAAGGACAAUUGCUAGACUUAGAUCGCGGAUCAAAUAUCUGAAAGAGGGAGAUGCCAACACUUCCUUUUUUCAUCUAUAGGCUUGCUAUCGGAAAAAGCGGAACUUUAUCUCUGAACUAGUGCAUGAGGACCUGAUCGCCACCUCUCAAGAGCAAAAGCAGAAGGUCUUGUUUGAUUUUUUUCUCCAAUUUGUUGGGUGUAGCGAAGCAGCGUGAUUUCACUCUAGAUUUGGAGGCUUGCCACAAUGCUGAUGUUGAUCUUGGGGCCUUGGACCUUCCCAUUACAGAGGAGGAGGUCCGGGCCACUAUUGCUAGCCUUCCCUCGGACAAAGCCCCGGGGCCAGACGGUUAUACAGGAAGGUUUUAUAAAACUUGUUGGCACAUAAUUAAGGUUGAUCUGAUGGCGGCAGUUAUCACCCUGCACCAAGGUAACGCGCACAAAUUGUGGAUGAUGAACUCUGCGUACCUAACCCUUAUCCCUAAGAAGGUUGAUGCCAAGACAGCUGGAGAUUACAGGUCAAUUAGUCUUAUUCACAGCUUCGCCAAAUUGGUAUCCAAAGUCUUGGCUAAUCGUUUAGCACCACACCUUCAAAAUCUGGUGGCUACAAAUCAAAGUGCCUUUGUCAAGGGUCGCUCCAUUCAUGACAACUACAUGUUGGUUCAGCACUCUAUCAAGGCCCUUCACAGGAAGAAGAUCGUUAGUCUAUUUCUAAAGCUAGAUAUUACAAAAGCUUUUGACUCAGUGUCAUGGGCCUUUCUCCUAGAAGUGUUAUCUCAUCUUGGCUUCGGACCCAGGUGGUGCGGCCUUGUGUUCAAUAUGUUAUCCACUUCUUCCACACAAGUGUUAUUGAACGGAACUCCGGAGGAUUAUAUUCGACACCGGAGGGGGCUGCGCCAAGGCGACCCCUUAUCUCCUAUGCUUUUCAUAAUCGUGAUGGAUGUGCUUAGUAGCUUAUUCAAGCAUGCUGAGGAGAGAGGAUUGCUGCAUGACCUGGCCAUCAAAAACGUGAAAUCUAGGCUCUCCAUUUACGCAGAUGAUGUGGUUCUUUUUGUCAAGCUUGCAGUUGAAGAUCUUAUUUGUGUCAAAAUGAUCCUGGAUUGCUUUGGAGAGGCCUCGGGCUUAGUUGUGAAUUUGCAAAAAAGUUGUGCUAUCCCUAUCAGUUGUGAUGAUCAGACUGUUCAGGACAGUUGUAACAUUUUGCAGUGCAUCCGGCUUCUUUUCCAUGCAGCUAUUUGGGGCUGCCUGUUUCUGAUAAGAAGUUGGGGAGGAGGGACCUCUUGCAGUGGGUGGACAAGAUAGCUAACCGGCUGCCCGGUUGGAAGGCUCCAUUUCUAAACCUUGCUGGCAGGACAGCCUUGGUCCGGUUCGUGCUCUCUGCAAUCCCCGUAUAUCUUUUCAUCGCCAUGAAUGUUCCCAAGUGGGUUAUCAGUGCUAUUGACAAAAUUCACCGAGGUUUCUUGUGGAAGGGUAGAAAAGAUGUGAAAGGUGGGCAUUGCCUUGUGGCAUGGGAUAAAGUCACCAGACCGCUGGACCUUGGUGGACUUGGUAUCCCAAACCUGAUAUAUAAGAGUUGGGCGCUGCAAGCUAAAUGGCUUUGGCUCAUCAAGACUGGCCCGAAUAGGCCUUGGAGUGGAUUGGAUCUCCCUGUUUAGUCACAAGUAAGGAAACUAGUGGCCAGUUUGAUGUACACUCAUGUGGGCAACGGCAAAAACACCCUUUUUUGGAGGGAUAGAUGGUUAAAUGGGUGCUCUAUCGCUGAGCUGGCACCUGAAGUGAUCUCAAAGGUGGAUAAAAAGGUGGCCUCUACCAGGACAGUGCAUCAAGCUUUGGAGGGCAUGUUGUGGGUUAGGGACAUCAAGCCAACCCUUUCCCUUGUAAGUAUACAGCAAUAUCUUACGCUUUGGGACACCCUGGGUGAGAUCGUGCUCACUCUCCAGGAGGAUCACCAUGUGUGGAGAUUCAAGUCUUCGGGCCUUUUCUUUUCUAGGUCCUGCUACAAGGUUCUAUUUUUGGGCUCCAUCACCUACGAACCUUAGAAAAGACUUUGGAAAUCUUGGGCUCCUCCUAAGUGUAAGACCUUUUUAUGGUUAGCCAUGCAGAAUAAGUGUUGGACAGCUAACAGGCUGGAAAAAACAGUUCAGCAUCUGUUGACUGGUUGUGUCUUCGCCAGACAGUUUUGGCAUAGCAUCCUCUCCCCCUUUGGUAUGGGCCACCUAACUCCAAGACCAGAGGAAACUAAUUUUGCUGAUUGGUGGGGAAUAGUGACCAUUCAGGUGCACAGAAACAAGAGAAAGGGAGUCAACAGUGCCAUUAUUUUGGGAGCAUGGUGCCUUUGGUUGCAUAUAAACAGAGUUAUCUUCGAUGGAGAUUCGCCAACCAUUGGCAAGGUGCAUAGAAGCUUCAUCGAUGAGCUAUCCUUAUGGAUGUUGGCUGGUGCCAAACACCUCGGAAGCCUUGGCUUGCUGCCGCUCCAGGCGCAGCAGGCUCGACUUAAUUUUUUCAUUGGUCGUCUUUUUGUAUCUUGGUCCUAUGGACAGAUUUAUUUAUGCUUGUUGUUGGCCACCAUAGGGUGGUUUUUUGUACUGGUCCUCUUGGACCUUAAUUUCCCUUCUUAAUAUAAAGAUGCGCAGCUCUCCUGCGUUUUUCAAAAAAAAAUUGAAGUAUUUGUGAUGAGCCCGACUCUCUAUAAUUGGUCCGAUCCCACCUACGGAUUAAGUUUGGUCGGAGAGAGGACUUAGUUACACUGGUGAGCGAAGGUACCAUGGCCGCUGGGGCACAGGAUCCUUGUGGUCGGAGAGAGGACUUAGUUACAUUGGUGAGCGAAGGUACCAUGGCCGCUGGGGCAUAGGAUCCUUGUGGUCCGACCGGUGUAAUUCGCUCUUUCUACCCACUUGUUUUGGUAUGGGUCGGGUGCAUCCAUGCUUGCUGCGGGGGAGGGGGUCAUUCUCUUAUCAACCCCCUAGUGAGGGCCGACCUCUUGCUGGCAAUGGGGUCAGUCGUUACUCAGAGUGGGUCCGUUGUCACGGGAGAACAAAUUCUUCAAGGUCGUAACUCAGAGAGGCAUGAAACUAGAUGUAGAGAACUUUGUCAAGCAAUGUCAGGUCUGUCAACAAGCCAAAGGUGAAAGGAAACAUCUUGUAGGGUUGUUGCAACCUUCACCUCUGCCCUUGGGUGUUUGGCAAGAUAUCACGAUGGCCUUCAUCGAAAAACUUCAAAAAUCCGAAGGAUAUGACACCAUUCUUGUGGUGGUCGACCGUUUCUCUAAAUAUGCUCACUUUUUGGCCUAGAAACAUCCCUUUAUAGCUUCACAGGUGGCUCAAGUGUUGUUGGAUCAGGUGGUAAAGUUGCAUGGCCUACCUAAAUGGCUAAAUCUAUGACCACUGAUCAGGACAAGGUUUUUACUAGUUCCUUAUGGACUCAGCUUUUCAAGUUAUUGGGCACCAAACUGAAUUUGAGUACAUUGUACCACCCUUAGACCAAUGGUCAAAGUGGACGUGUCAAACAAUGUGUGGAGAUGUAUCUUCGUUGCGCAAUGCAUGCCCAACCUCAUAAGUGGAAGGCAUGGUUGUUCCUAGGUGAGUUUUGGUACAACACUUCUUACCAUUCUUACUUGGGAUGCUCUCCUUUCAAGGUGUUGUAUGGCUAUGACCCACCCUUUGUUGAUGCUCCUCUGAUUCCAGCUAAGGCCGAAGUGAAUGUGGCUACCAUGCUCGCUGAGCGUUUAGCCUUUAGCACUAUGUUGUGAGAACAGUUAACUGGUGCUCAGAACAUCAUGAAAAUGUUGACUGAUAGGCUCCAGACUGAGCGACAGUUUCAAGUUGGCGAUCCAGUUUUGCUAAAGUUGCAGUCGUAUGCUCAACACUCGAUGUUGAAUCGACCCUCUCCGAAAUUAGACUUCAAAAUCUUUGGACCAUACAAGGUCGUCGAAUGUGUGGCCGAGUUGCUUAUCGUGUAGAUUUACCAUCUACAACACAAGUGCAUCUAGUGUUCCACGUUUCUCAACCGCCAGUCUUUUCCACUAUACCUCGGUAUGAUGAUCUGGCAAGGGGUUGCUCCUAUGGAGAUUCUGGAUCGGCGGUUGGUGAAGAAUGGCAACCGGGUGGUUCCUCAAGUGCUCAUCUGUUGGAGUCACGUACUCACGUUCAUCGGGAAUAUGUUACUUGGGAGGAUUAUUAUGCGGUUCAACAACACUUGCCACGCGCCCUUGCUUGAGGACAAACAAGUCCUUCGGCGGGGGCAGAUGUUACGUCUAAAAAAACUAAUGACACUAAGAACAUGGGCAACGAAGCUGAAGACGCUAGGAACACGGGCACCCAGCUGAUUGUGUCGGAUGGUGAAUAGGGAGGUUGGUUGUGUUGCAGAAGGCGUAUUAUUGCAUUACGUUUUAGUCUAUGGUUGUGUGGGUGUUGGACCGUGGAUGUUGGGACCGGCCCAGUCCGGGAAUAUCACUAUCACUACGUCUUUGAAGUGGGAGUUUCGUCGUGCGUCGUCCCCCUCCCCACACGUGUAGCGAGCGAGUGUCGCUAGAGUUCCUAUGGGCUCAACGAAAUUUAAAAACCGCCCGUUGGGAUUUGAACUAUGGUCUCUAGUAGGGAUGGCAAUCGGGCAAGUAAGACAUGGGUAUAUGGUUGGUGAACCCAUACCCGCGAGAUGAAACUUAACUCAUACCCAUAUCCAUAUAUGUUCAUGAGUAUGGAUCUGUACUCGUACCCACCGGGUUCCUCUACCCGACGAAUAUUCAUUACCUGCUCGCCCACUAUAAUUUUAGCAUUCAUCACACAAACAACAAUUUUAUGAUAAUCAAAAAUUUCAUCGUUCGAACAACAUAGAACAACAAUUUCAGCACCCAACAACAAUUUCAACAUCAAAUUAUUAGAUGAUAAUACAGACAAUAUAAAACAAUAUUCGUGGAAUGAUAAUACACAACAUUAUAGCAACAAUAUAAUAAAGUAGCAGGGGGCUCGGUGCAUUGGCCAGUCGCCUAGGCCCAGUUGGCCUACUCAGUUACUUAGUUUAGGACUUAGGGUUGGCCGGUUGGUUGAAUGGGAUUUGGAAAUUGAGAGAUGGCCUACUUGUCAGAUACCUAUCGAGUAACGGAUAUGGAUAUCCAUAUCCACGAAAAAUACACCCAUAGAUACCUUAAUAUAUCCAUAUAUGUACCACGGAUACAAAUUUUCACUAUACUCGUACCUGAUGGAUAAUUAUCUAUGGUUAUUUACUCAAACCCGUAUCCACUGUCAUCCCUAGUCUCUAGGAAGAGAGACCAUGCCUCUAACCACGGUAACUCGAAUUGGUUUGGGUUAUAGUGUUAUACAAAGAAACUAUAUAUGAUAUAUAACAAACUAGUAAAUAAUGUAAGCACGAACGAACAACGAAUAAUAACAUAAUUUUACCACACUGUAUCGCGGUAUCGCCUGGUGUCGCUCACGUCCAAGCGCCUUCUCGCCGGCGUCCAAGGGCCAUCACAGGUUGGUGCAUGUCGCCGGCGAAAGGCCUGACGAACGACAAAGACCUCGGUGCUCGCCCUGCCGCCCUGCAGCACAGCAGUGAGCAGUCAGCACCAGCGCUCGUCGGCUGCCGGGUGCCGCCCGCGCCCGCUCGGCGCUCGGUAGCCGCGGCCGGUGGAGCCGCCUCGUCGCCUCACCACGGGCCCGCUGCGGACGAGCGCACGGCCACGGCGCCGGCGCACCGCUCGCCGCGACGCCGUCUCGCACGCGCGCGGAGCCACGACCGGUCGUCCACAGGCGCGUAGGAGCUCAGCAACAGGCGUACCGCAGUCCGCAGUGGCGCCGUCGUGCUUAGGAGCUUGGAGCCGCUCAGCCGCCACCGGUGGGAUCGAGGAUUCGAGCGAGGUAGAGCGUCUGAGCGUGGAGGGCAACUGGGAACGCCAAAUGGACCUAAUGGGCCAUCGAUUGUGUACUGUGAUGGACCAAACUAGUUUUAUUAUCUAUUUUUUAUUUAAACGGGUUAAAUAUUGUAUGUGUACAAAAAUGCAGGGUAUUCCAGGGAAUACACUGAGCUAUUCCAGGAUAUACACUGAGCUCCGCCCUAUGCUCCAGCCGUUGGAGUGGAUUGAAGGAAAAUAAACUAAUUUUCCCUUCAAUCCCUAUGGAGAAUAGGUAGGGAUGGCAAUUCUUCCCGCAGGCACGGAUAUCCACGGGUUUCGUACCCGAUGGAUAUGGAUACGGGUAAGAAAUCUCGCCCACGGGUAAGGAUACGGGCAACACUUCUCACCCGCGGGUAUU
rnacentral:lncRNA from 1 species